AGUUAAAACCAGUGGAUCAAGUCCUCAAUGGGAUAUUUUGGAGAAUGAACUAUGCAGUGAAAAGGAAAUAGUAAGAUGCACAAGAAAUUAUUCCUGUUCUGUUUUUGGAGAAAACUGGAUAUUUCAUAACAUCCGAGGUCACCAAACUCAGGAGAGGGAUUUCAGAAAUGGUUUGGUGGAGAAUCUCUGCAAAGGUAAUGAAGGUCAUCAAUGUGGAGAAACCCUGAACCAGAUUACACAUCUUACUGUGCAUAAGGGUUAUCCGACUGGAAUUCAGCCCUAUAAAUGCACUAAGUGUGGAAAAGCCUUCAGGGAUCGUUCUUUCCAGAAGAAUCAGCAAAGAUCUCACCCUGGACACAAACCUUAUGCAUGUGAAGAAUGUGGGGAAGCCUGCAGCUGUGUCUCAUGCCUAAAUCCUCCUGUGGAAACACACAUUGUAGAGAAACCCGAAAAACAUCAGGAUGCUGGGAGAGCAUCUAAAAGAUAUGUUAAGAGUGGCAGUCGUAAACAGUCUUUAGAGUGUAAGAAGUCUGGAAAAGCUCUCACUUGUCCCUCAUCCUUUAAGGGACGUGAGCGUGAUCACCGUGGACAGAAAAUCCAUGUGUGUAAAGUAUGUGGGAAAUCCUUUAUGUAUUAUUCCUACCUUGUACGGCAUGUGAGAACUCACACUGGAGAGAAACCCUAUGAAUGUAAGGAAUGUGAGAAAACCUUCCGAUAUCCUGCAUCCUUGGGAGGACAUGUGACGAUGCACACUGGAGAGAAACCUUACGUGUGUAAGGAAUGUGGGAAAACCUUCAGUUGUCCCAAAUACUUCAGAAGACACGUGAAAACACACAGUAGCAUGAAACCCUAUGAAUGUACGGAAUGCGGCAAAGCCUACAGUUGCUCCUCAUCCCUUCGAGAACACACACGAACACACAGCGAAGAGAAACCCUAUGAAUGUCAGCACUGUGGGAAAGCCUUCAGGCAUCAGCGAUAUUUUAAAAAGCAUGUGAGAAUGCACAGUGGAGUGAAACCCUAUGAAUGUAUGGAAUGCGGGAAAGCCUACAGUUGUUCCACAUCCCUCCGGGAACACGAGAGAACGCACACUGGGGAGAGGCCCUUCAAAUGCCAGCACUGCGGGAAAGCCUUCACUCGCCACGCCUCCCUUCGAGGACACAUGAGAACGCACAGUGGGGAGAGAGCCUACAGAUGUACACAGUGUGGGAAAGCUUUCUGUUGGCCCUCGUCCUUACGAAAGCACAUAAGAAUGCACAGUGAGGAGAAGCCCUACGAAUGUCAGCAAUGUGGGAAAGCCUUCUGGUACCCCGCAAACCUGCGAGGACACAUGAGGAUACAUGCUGGGGAGAAACUCUGAAUCCAAGGACCGUGGGAGAGACUUCAUUCUCUCUUCAAACUUGUAAUGUGAGCAGCACACUGUAGAGGAAACUUAUGAAAGGGAAAAUGUGGGAAAACCUUCAGCACUUCACUUACUUUGUACAUGAAAACUCAGAGCACAACAGAAAUCUUUUAACAGAGAUAAAUGUGGUUUUGACUUGGUAAGUGCCUCAUCCUGAAUAGGGAUCCCAGUGUAUUAAUUUCUAGCUCAUGUUGCUGAUCUGAAUACUUAAGAUAAUAACUAUCCCUCUAUGUCUACCUCAUCUGUACUACUUAUAUUUUGUUAUCUCCAGCUUUAAAUAAUCAUACAGUC